rnacentral:rRNA from 1 species
GAUGAACGCUGGCGGCGUGCCUAAUACAUGCAAGUCGAGCGAACAGACGAGGAGCUUGCUCCUCUGACGUUAGCGGCGGACGGGUGAGUAACACGUGGAUAACCUACCUAUAAGACUGGGAUAACUUCGGGAAACCGGAGCUAAUACCGGAUAAUAUAUUGAACCGCAUGGUUCAAUAGUGAAAGACGGUUUUGCUGUCACUUAUAGAUGGAUCCGCGCCGCAUUAGCUAGUUGGUAAGGUAACGGCUUACCAAGGCAACGAUGCGUAGCCGACCUGAGAGGGUGAUCGGCCACACUGGAACUGAGACACGGUCCAGACUCCUACGGGAGGCAGCAGUAGGGAAUCUUCAGCAAUGGGCGAAAGCUUGACGGAGCAACGCCGCGUGAGUGAUGAAGGUCUUCGGAUCGUAAAACUCUGUUAUUAGGGAAGAACAAAUGUGUAAGUAACUAUGCAAGUCUUGACGGUACCUAAUCAGAAAGCCACGGCUAACUACGUG